GUAACCCGGUGGCACAGCUCCAGUCACAGAUUUUGGAGCUGGGUCAAAAACAUGACCAAGUACUGUCUGCUCUUUCCAACAUGAGUAAUGCUAAUACCAGAUCUUAUGUAUACAUUCCACGAGAGCGACAAAUUGUUCCUUUCAGUGGUGACUGUUGUAAAGAUAACCAAACUGUAGACGAGUUUAUUGAUGAAAUUGAACGUGUCAUUCGAGUCCGUGGUUUAAACAGUGAGGAUCAGGUAGACUUUAUUCUUUCUCAUUUGAGAGGUUCAGCUUUGGAUGAGAUUAGGCUGUGUAUGGGGGGAGAGAUAAAACAACCUCAGGAGCUGUUUUCUUAUUUAAGGGGAGCUUUUAGAGAAAAACGCACAACACCACAGCUGUUACAUGCAUUUUAUUCACGCAGACAAUCAGAUGGGGAAGAUUUUCGCGACUUUUCCCAUGCUUUGUCUCAACUUUUAAAUGCUGCUCUCCAACAGUCCUCUCAUGUUGUGUCUGACCCACAGCUAGCUCUCAGAGACCAGUUCAUUGAAGGGGUGCGAGACUCUACCCUUCGUAGGGAACUGCGCAGGUUUGUGAGAGAGCGGCCACACUGUACGUUGUUUGACAUCCGUGAUGAGGCUAUGAUGUGGUGCAUGGAAGACAAACCUCGCAUGCAGUACGUGAACUUACCAUGCAGAAAGCCAAUGUUGUUCCUGACAAGAGCACAAAACCCAAAUUCAGGCCAAGGUAUACCGACGAUGGUCAGCCAAUCUGCCUAAGAUGUGAAGGAAUAGGACACUUAGCUCGAAACUGCACAGCA
ensembl:lncRNA